GUAUUUUAUCAUCUUCAGACAAGAAUAUGGCAACAUUUUCAGCCACAUUUUUGUGUUUGAGUUCAGUCCAGCUUCCACCACAACCCGAGCGAGUCUGACUAAUGCAAAGGUCGGGGUUGUGUUUGCUACAACUAAUUCGACUCAAGAAAUCCCACAGGCUGCAAAUGUUUCACAAACCUUAGUAACCGCUGUGUCAAACCCGAACAAUACCUUCAACGUCACUGUUAAUGCCGUCACUGUAGUUGGAACAACUACAUUAAAUUCGACAACUACAUCGCCCAUUACUGCUGCAACAACAGUUGCCAAAGUUCCAACUACAGUUGCCAAAGUUCCAACUACAACUGCUGUAACAGUCAUAACAAGGCUAUUGACAUUCAGAUCUCAAGGAGAGAUAUUUACAAGUGACUUGAUGGAUCCAUCAUCUGCAGCAUUUAAAAGACGAGCGACAUUGAUGGAGACAACACUGCGACCUCUAUUCAAAAUAGCUUUUCCUACAUUCAUCAACAUCUAUGUGAUUUCAUUCAGUAAUGGAUCAAUCAUCCAAAACUUGGGACUUACAUUCUCAUCAACGUCUGCUCCUAAUGGUUCCCAGAUUCAAACAAUUUUGGUCAUAGUAGCUCCAACAAUCACAGACUUCAACAUUGACACCACGUCCAUUUCUGUGGAUGGCACACAGGUUUCAAGUGGAGUAAGCCACAAGAUCAGUCUCACCACCGCAUCCUUCCUUGUGCUGAUGUCAUGGAUCCUCUCAAGCCAACAAUAGCAUCAUUGCUGAAUACAAUUUCAUUUGCCAUUAUUACAUGACUGCCAUCACUGGCAUGAAAAAUGACUUCUUGAUUCUUGUCGAAGAAGCCUUCUACAGCUUCAGAUAAACUAUCACUUUUUAUUUUUUUAUUAAUUCACAUAUGUAUGACACUGGAUUAGGUUGAUCUUAAUCUGAACAUGUUUCUGGAUGGGAAUGUCCAGGCUCCUUCACCGAGCAGAAUGACACAACAAGACUCAUAUGGCACACAAAAUACCAUUGAGCCUUGAGAUGCCCAUUUAAAAAAAAGUGUUCGAGCAAUAUUUAACCUCAUGACAGUGACUAAUCUUUUCUUAUUUGUCACAUCAAAACGUAAAGAAGAACAAGAGGACAAGUGAAAUCAGUUAAAUUAUGCUCAACUUCACCAGAAGGCAGUUGUAGCCCUCGAUUUCACACUUUUGUGAAGUUAUAGUCUUCUUGGUUUCCUUCUGUCGUCCUAAAAUGUAUGUAAAAUGUUAGGUUUGACUUCUUUCCAUAUAAUUUUGUAACAUUGCAUAGAAAUAUCAGAGAGCAUAUUGUAAAGGGAACAUGUGUCUAAAGUUAAUUAAAGGAACAGCACUGCAGCUCAUCAUGAGUCGUAUAACCAACCAUGAACCAAAUAGGCCUAGAGUUAUAUUAUCAUUAUAUACAUGGUCAAAACAUUGCACUGUUAAUUUGAUUUAUUUAUUCAACGUGUAUUUAUAUAUUCAUGUAUAGCUGAUUUCUGUGAGUUUUCUAAAUGUUUGUACAAUAUUUGUCAGAAGCUUCAUAAUGAUCAGAAUAAAAAGUCUUCCAAGAAUUUU